rnacentral:rRNA from 1 species
AUUGAACGCUGGCGGCAUGCCUUACACAUGCAAGUCGAACGGCAGCACGGGAGCAAUCCUGGUGGCGAGUGGCGAACGGGUGAGUAAUACAUCGGAACGUGUCCAGUAGUGGGGGAUAGCCCGGCGAAAGCCGGAUUAAUACCGCAUACGACCUACGGGUGAAAGCGGGGAUCGCAAGACCUCGCGCUAUUGGAGCGGCCGAUGGCAGAUUAGCUAGUUGGGGGGUAAAGGCCUACCAAGGCGACGAUCUGUAGCUGGUCUGAGAGGACGACCAGCCACACUGGGACUGAGACACGGCCCAGACUCCUACGGGAGCAGCAGUGGGGAAUUUGGACAAUGGGCGCAAGCCUGAUCCAGCCAUGCCGCGUGCGGGAA